UAUGAAGAAGAGGGAAAAUUUAAUUACAGCGGUGCGAGAAGUUUCAGGUUGAAUUUUUUUUUGGUUGUGAGCUAAUUAAAACUGGUAGAACAAAGGUAUGUUUCAUUCACCCCAGGGGUGAAUAGGGAUACAUAUAAGCGUGUUGGUGUCAGCACCCCCCUCCGAUAUCCCCGCAUUCCUCUGAAAACUGGUCCCCUUCUCUGUCAGAAAGAUGGGCUUCUAUGGAGGACUAGAUUGCUAUCCACCAUACUUUCAACCCUGCUACCCGCCCUACUACCAACCUUACUAUCCCCAGUAUGGCUAUGGUUAUGGAGGUUAUGGCUAUGGGUAUGGUAACCAAGGCCCCUGCAACUAUCCCCAGUAUGGCUGUGGUUAUGGAGGUUAUGGCUAUGGCUCCAGGUAUGGUUCUCCAGGACUCCAGCCAUGCAGUUAUGGUUAUCGGUACACUAACAGGGGAGGCUGCUAUGACCCUCGUGCCUUCCGGUGUGGGUAUGGGUCAAGAAGAAGCUUCCCUUCUAGAAGAUAUGGAUAUGGUGGAAGCUAUGGUGGAGGCUGUUAUGGAGGUUAUUGCGGGUUCUUCUAAACUCCACAUGGAACAGAAGAUGGAGCACCAAAUGCAUGACUAAUGUGGUUGGACCAGGACUUUGGAAAAGUAGGAGGACAUCACAUCUCCAACCCACCUUGAAUUCUGGGCGGUCAGGGCAUUAGCUAAUCAAUUAAUUUAUUAAUCCAUUUUUUGAAAGACUGAACUGGAACAUUCCUUUGUAAAUACCCAUAAACCCAUGUUGACAUGCCCAAUUUCCUCUUCCACCAGUGGUCUGGCCACCCCAUCUUCUCAAUAUGUCCCAUAAAGCAUUUCCUCCACUAUCAGUCUGAAGGAACCAACUGGGAGGAUGAUCAUUUCUUGGAAAUGAAGAUAGACAGAACAUCCCUCUAAUUAACUGUCCACCCUCAAAGAAAGAACCAUUCUCAUACUAUAAGCCUGUUAUGUGUCAUGCAAUAAAACCUAUAUGUAGUACCGAGA